CUAUGCGCCUUGCCAGCCCCGCUCAGAAACUUAAAGGAAUUGACGGGGGCCCGCACAAGCGGUGGAGCAUGUGGUUUAAUUCGAAGCAACGCGAAGAACCUUACCAAGACUUGACAUCCCCUGACAGCUGUUGAAAGGCAGUGUCUCUUCGGAGCAGGGAGACAGGUGGUGCAUGGUUGUCGUCAGCUCGUGUCGUGAGAUGUUGGGUUAAGUCCCGCAACGAGCGCAACCCUUAUCCUUAGUUACCAGCACGUAAAGGUGGGGACUCUAAGGGGACUGCCGGUGUUAAACCGGAGGAAGGUGGGGAUGACGUCAAGUCCUCAUGGCCUUUAUGACCAGGGCUACACACGUACUACAAUGGCCGAUACAAAGGGCAGCGACACUGCGAGGUGAAGCCAAUCCCGUAAAAUCGGUCUCAGUCCGGAUUGGAGUCUGCAACUCGACUCCAUGAAGUUGGAAUCGCUAGUAAUCGUGGAUCAGCAUGCCACGGUGAAUACGUUCCCGGGCCUU
rnacentral:rRNA from 1 species